AAGACUAUACUUUCAGGGAUCAUUUCUAUAGUGUUCAACUGGAGAAAUGUGCUUCGUGGAAGUUUGGUCUCGCUACUCACGAUGAAGAGUAUCGGUAUCCUUUUCUGAGCACGAAAUGAGUGCAGGCUUGCAGUCGUUGGACUACGUCUGUACUAUUGAUGACUGUUCCGAAUAUUAUUAAUGUUCGGAGGAAAAGGAUACGUUCCGAGUGAG